ACCGCGAACUUCUAAACCUUUGACGAUUGACUCAUGUUGCCUCGGCGGGUGCUCCCGCCAGAGGAUACAUCAAAACUCCUGUUUUAACGGUGUUGUCUGAGCUACAAGCAACGAAUCAAAACUUUCAACAACGGAUCUCUUGGUUCUGGCAUCGAUGAAGAACGCAGCGAAAUGCGAUAAGUAGUGUGAAUUGCAGAAUUCAGUGAAUCAUCGAAUCUUUGAACGCACAUUGCGCCCCUUGGUAUCCCGAGGGGCAUGCCUGUUCGAGCGUCAUUUCACCACUCAAGCCUGGCUUGGUGUUGGGCGACGUCCCCUUUGGGGACGCGCCUCGAAACGCUCGGCGGCGUGGCACCGGCUUUAAGCGUAGCAGAAUCUUUCGCUUUGAAAGUCGGGGCCCCGUCUGCCGGAAGACCUACUCGCAAGGUUGACCUCGGAUCAGGCAGGGAUACCCGCUGAACUUAAGCAUAUCAAUAA
rnacentral:rRNA from 1 species